rnacentral:lncRNA from 1 species
AAUGUUUAAAAAAAUUAUAUCAAAUUUACGACAAAUACUUUUGUAAUUCUUGCGUGAAAUUAUGCGCAGUCGAAUAGUCCCGAGCCACCUUAAUAUUAAACAUCACAUAAAACAUCAUUCAACUUAUAUGCAAACUAAACAGCAUACUGUGAAUUCAUUAUUAUUUAUGGUAUACCAAUUUUUUUGAUUUUCAUUGGUACAGGAGAACCAUGAAUUAAAAUGUUCAACGAAUCUGAUAAUGCAAGAUUUCCUCAAUCUAUGAAAAUUG